UACGGAGGGGGCUAGCGUUGUUCGGAAUUACUGGGCGUAAAGCGCGCGUAGGCGGACCUGCAAGUCGGGGGUGAAAGCCCGAGGCUCAACCUCGGAACUGCCUUCGAUACUGCGGGUCUCGAGUCCGGGAGAGGUGAGUGGAAUUCCUAGUGUAGAGGUGAAAUUCGUAGAUAUUAGGAAGAACACCAGUGGCGAAGGCGGCUCACUGGCCCGGUACUGACGCUGGGGCGCGAAAGCGUGGGGAGCAAACAGG
rnacentral:rRNA from 1 species